CUGAGGACCCUCCUGAAGAGAAUUGAGACCUUGAUCCCAAAUUGCUUAGGCUGAGCUCUGCAGUCGUUUUCAAAGCAAAGCCUGCUCUCCGUGGGUAAAUUUCCCUUGUAAUUUUUCCUUGAAAAUCCUGCAGCAAAUGGCUUUAAAUGCAGUGUCUGUGUGUAACUGCUCUUUUUGGUGCAUUUCCCGUAAUGAGCCAUAACAUAUGUGUGUGUCUUUACACACCUCGGAACAAUGCUAUGCAAGCAUUAGGGGAUUUUUCUAACAACUACUGAAUGUGCUGCUUUUCACAGCUCACCCAAACACUCCUGCCUGAUAAGCCUGCCUGCAGAGGGAUGUUAUCUGUAUUUCUGGGAUCAGCGGAAAAGAGAAAAAAAAAAGUGGGAGGCAUAUCUGAAUAUUUUAAACAGCUAAUUCUGAUGCAAGCAAGUUGCACAGAGGACACUUCUUGGAUGGGGAAGGCUGAGGAGAGGCUCUGUGAAGAACUGUUAUCCCCAUUUCACAGAAGACUGAAC
rnacentral:lncRNA from 12 species